rnacentral:lncRNA from 10 species
CGGUUACAACCCUUUUCCUUCCACCCCCCAACCCACCUCCAAUCCAUGAUUAAAUCAUCGCCCCCAGGCCCCACUUUCAACAUUCGGAAUUACAAUUCCACCUGAAUUUUUUUAGGGACUCACAGCCAAACCAUAUUAUUCUUACCCUGAUAUCCCAGAAUCUCAUGUCCUUAUCACAGAGCAAAAUACAAUCAUGCCUUUUCAAAAGUUCCAAUAGCCUUAACUAAUUCCAAGUGUAAAAAGUUCAAAGUCUCAUCUGAGACAAGGCUACUGCCCCUUCUGCCUAUGAGUCCCUGAAUUUAAAAGAGAUUUCUUUUCUUUCAAGGUACAAUGAUGGUAGAGGUAUUGUGUAAGCUUUCUCAAUCCAAAGGGAAGAAAUUUCCCAGAAAAAUAACACAAAUGGGCCCACAGGCCCAGUGCAAGUCCAAAACCCAGCAGGACAGUAUUCACUCAAUCUCACAGCUCAAAAAUCAUUAAGAGAACUCAUCGUCAUGCGGAAAGCAUUAAGGAGACAGUGUUUACCCAUUUGUGAAGAAUCUGUUCCCCCGCCCUCAUCUUUCACUCCCAUCCACAAAAUAAUCUCUCCCGUUCUCCCCACACCCCUACCUCCAACACCCACUCUUCUCCAUGAUUAAAUCACCUCCCACCAGUUCCCACCUUUAACAUUCCCCCCUAAAAUUCCACAUGAAUAUUGGUAGAGACACAAAUUCAAAUCAUAUCAUUCUGGCUCUUGCUCCCCAAAUCUUGUAUCCUUGUCACACUGCAAAAUACAUUGAUGACUUCUUUACUGUCCCCCAAAGACUUAACUCAUUCCAGCAUUUACUAAAAUGUACAAGGACUUACAGACCCCAUGCAAGUCCAAAACCCAGCAGGCCAGUCAUUGAAUCCUACAGCUCCAAAUCAUCUUUUCUGAAUGGACAUCUCUCAUCCGAUCACAGGAGUGUCAUGGCUGGGCUCCCAAGGCCUUGGGCAGCUCUGCACCUGUGGCUGUGCACGGUCUAUCCCCCACAGCUGCCCUCAUGGGCUGGGCUGGUGUUGAGUGCCUGUAGCUUUUCCAAACUAAGGUUGGAAAAGCCAGCUGUUGGUGGGUCUAUGAAUCUGGGGUCUGGAGAAUGGUGCCUCCAUAUUUAGGGACCCCAGCCCUAUAUUAUCCUUCUGUACUGCCCUAGUAAAGGUUUCCCAUGAGGCUCUGCCUCUUGGAAAAGCUUCUACCUGAAAACCCAGGUUUUUCCGUAGAUACUCUGGAGUCUAGACAAAGGCUCCCAAGCCUCUAGUUUUGUUCUCUGUGCACCUGCUGGCUUAACACUAUGUGGAAGCCACCAAGGCUUGAAGCUUACACCCCUGAAGCGUGAUGCAAGCUGUACCUGUGCAUCUUUCAGCCAUGGCUGGAACUAGAGCUGCAGGGAUGCAGGCAGCAGUGUCUUGAGACUGCACAUAGAGGGGGGUCAUGGAACUGGCCUAGGAAACCAUUCUUCUCUCCGAGGCCCCAGGGCCUAUGAUAGCAAGGGCUGCUGCAAAGGUUUCUGAAAUGGCUUCAAGGCCUUUUCCCUAUUGUCUUGGCUAUUAGCACUGGGCUCCUUUUCAUGCAAAUUUCUAAAGCCUUCCUCAGUUUUCCCCUGAAAAUCAGCUUUUCUUUUUGACCAUUUGGCCAGGCUGCAAAUUUUUGAGUUCUGUUUCUCAUUUAAUAUAAGAGUUGGGACUCAUUUAAUGUAAGAUCCAUCCAGAUGUCAUUUUCUCGGUCACACAUAAGGGCACAGGCUGUUUGAUACAGACAGGACACCCCUUGAGCUUUGCUGUCCAGAAGUUCAUUCCAACAGAUACGCAGUAAGUCAUCACCCACAAGUUCAAAGUUUCACAGAUCUCCAGGGCAGUGUCACUGUGCAUCCACGUUCUUUGCUACAGCAAAACAAAAGGCACCUUGGCUCCUGUUUGCAGUAAGUUCCUCAUUUUCAUCUGAGAGCUUCUCAAUCUGAUCCUUACUGUCUAUUUUCCUAUGAGUCUUCUGAUCACAAGUAUUUAACAACUUUUUACAAAGAUCCAAACUUUCCCUCAUCUCCCUGUCUUUGAAGUCCUCCAAACUCUCCAGAACUCCAUCUGCUACCCCCUUCUGAACCUGCUUCUACAUUUUCAGCUAUCUUUGUCACAGUCUGGCAGUGUGGUAAAGGAAGACAAGCCCAUUUUCUUGGGAAAAAUUCAAGGGGCUUCAGAUACUUGAAUGAAAAGAAGCUGAGUGCUGAUUGCCAAGACAUUAGGGAGAAGGCCUUGAAGACAUUUAAUAGAUCCACUUUGCAGUAAUAAUUUUCUCCAUGAUCAUAAAGAAAAGAGGUUUAAUAGGUUAAUGAUUCUGCAGGCUGUAAGGAAGCAUAGUGGCUUCUGCAUCUGACAGGACUCAGGAAGCCUCCCAAUCAUACCAGAACGUCAAGGGGCAAGGAGAUGUCUCAUUUGGCAGAAGUAGGAGCAAGACAGAGAAAGGAAACAGGUGUCAUGCCCCAUUACACAAGCAGAUCUCAUGAGAACUCACUAUCACAAGGUCAGCAUCUAGAAAAUGGUGCUUAAACAUUGGUGAAGGAUCCGCCCCACACACCCAACUCCCACUGUUUCCAGGCAGAAGCCUCCUUCAGAUGCAGAGCCUCUUGGAAAACCUCUAUUAUGGAAGUGCAGAAGGAAAAUAUGGGCUUGAAGUCCCCACACAGGUGGCCACCAACCUCCAGACCCCAGAUUCAUAGGCCCACCAACAACUCACGCCCUUAGUGUAGAAAAGCUACAGGCCCUCAAUACCAGCCCACCCCACGAGAACAGCUGAGGGGCUAAAACCUGCAAAGCCACAGGUGCACUGCCCUAGUAGAGGUUUCCCACGAGGCUUUGCCUCUG